rnacentral:rRNA from 1 species
UACAGAGGGUGCGAGCGUUGUUCGGAAUUACUGGGCGUAAAGCGCGCGUAGGCGGCUUUGUAAGUUAGAGGUGAAAGCCCGGAGCUCAACUCCGGAAUUGCCUUUAAGACUGCAUCGCUAGAAUCAUGGAGAGGUGAGUGGAAUUCCGAGUGUAGAGGUGAAAUUCGUAGAUAUUCGGAAGAACACCAGUGGCGAAGGCGACUCACUGGACAUGUAUUGACGCUGAGGUGCGAAAGCGUGGGGAGCAAACGGG